UUACUACCGCAGUGGCAGUAUCGUAGCUAAUGAGGUUAAUCCGAGGCGUGAUCAUUGCUAGUUGAAAACUUUUCUUACUCCUAACACUG
rnacentral:snRNA from 1 species